AGAGUUUGAUCAUGGCUCAGAUUGAACGCUGGCGGAAUGCUUUACACAUGCAAGUCGAACGAUGAACCUUAGCUUGCUAGGGGGAUUAGUGGCGAACGGGUGAGUAAUAUAUCGGAACGUGCCUUGUAAUGGGGGAUAACUAGUCGAAAGAUUAGCUAAUACCGCAUACGACCUACGGGUGAAAGCGGGGGAUCGCAAGACCUCGCGCUAUUGGAGCGGCCGAUGGCAGAUUAGCUUGUUGGUGGGGUAAAAGCUUACCAAGGCUACGAUCUGUAGCUGGUCUGAGAGGACGACCAGCCACACUGGGACUGAGACACGGCCCAGACUCCUACGGGAGGCAGCAGUGGGGAAUUUUGGACAAUGGGCGCAAGCCUGAUCCAGCAAUGCCGCGUGUGUGAUGAAGGCCUUCGGGUUGUAAAGCACUUUUAGUGGGAACGAAACGGUCCGGGCCAAUACCCUGGACUAAUGACGGUACCCGCAGAAUAAGCACCGGCUAACUACGUGCCAGCAGCCGCGGUAAUACGUAGGGUGCAAGCGUUAAUCGGAAUUACUGGGCGUAAAGCGUGCGCAGGCGGUUUUGUAAGACCGAUGUGAAAUCCCCGGGCUCAACCUGGGAACUGCAUUGGUGACUGCAAGGCUUGAGUGUGUCAGAGGGAGGUGGAAUUCCGCGUGUAGCAGUGAAAUGCGUAGAUAUGCGGAG
rnacentral:rRNA from 1 species